rnacentral:tRNA from 1 species
GACAGUUUGGCCGAGUGAUCUAAGGCGCUGGCUUUAGGCGCCAGCCCGUAAGGGCGUGGGUUCGAACCCCACAGCUGUCA